CGAUCUCAAAUCAGGUAGGACUACCCGCUGAACUUAAGCAUA
rnacentral:rRNA from 1 species